ensembl:lncRNA
CGCCGUGCGCCCCCGGUGCCGCGCCCAGGCUCCCGCCCCGGCCUCCUUACCAGCCACUUGUCUCCCAGCUGCGAACUGGAGCGGGAGGCGGCGGCCGGAGGGCCCAGGACAGCCCCGGGAGGGCGGCGAGGCGGAGCAGGAGCGCCCCGGCUCCGGCCACAUUCUCAGAGUCAGGAAAAGGGGCGAGAGGCCACAUCUCUCCCUCUCGCCAAACUGAAAACGAAACGGCGCUCCAGCAGAUUGGGUGGAAAGAGCUGUGUCUUGUUUUCUCUGUUUUUCACGCUAGAAAGGGCUUGUAAACAUUGUUUCUUUUAAAAUGACCUACCCCGGGAGGUUUGGGCACACUUCUGUCCUGGGGUCAUCGUUCCUAGGUGGCUUCGGACUUGGGACUUUGAUUUCCUGUAUCUGCACAUUGUCGUUUUAUACACAAUUGCCAAGGUGGAACUGAUUUCAGCUUUACUGAGCUUGAAGCUGCAAAGGCGAUGUUGCCGCCUGGAUCCUGUUACACUGAAACAAGAAAUGGCAAACGGAUAACAGUUACUGUGCCUAAAAGAUGGUUCUGCCCUGACGUUUCCUGGAAUAAUGCUGAGGACUGCCUGUCGGGUAGCUGCCUUAUUCAGUUCACUUCAUCUCGGAAACACCUGACCCCUGCCUUGGAUCCAGCGGCCCUCCUGAGAGCUGAGGAAGGAGGAAAUCCUAUGUGUCUGCUCCCAGAGCUGCCACAACCCAUCUUCCCACAACUCGGAACUUGGAAAAAGGAACCCAGGACACGACUUUGCUUUUCUUUUGGACCUAGUUGGUGAUUAUACCCGGUCUCCCAUGGAGACCAUGUCUUGCAUCCUUCCUUCUGUAUGGGAUUUAGGAUAGAAAUUAAAAAGAAAACAUCUUAUUUUGAGUCUUGAUUUGGAGAAAGGUAGUAUUUAGGGAGAAGUAGGCUAUGAUACACAUAGAAAAUUUGAGGACAGUGUUACUUAACAAGGACAUUUCUGUCUCUGCAGAAGUCACAGCUUGGAGGAAACCAGUUUGCACUAUUUGAUGAGGAAUUUGGCCACCAAACCACUGAUACUUUCCCAAAGGUUUGGCAGAAAUUGUUUUUUGAGUGGCUCACCAGAGUCCCUAGAAGAAUCAGCAUGGAAUUAGAGGACAGUGGCCUACCCUAACUAAAGACAUGAGUGACGUGUAAAGUCCAAUGUCAAUUUAUUCAGAAAAUAUCAAAAUUAUUCUGGGAGCUAUGGGUCAAAGUUGAUAGGCACAAACAAACAAAAACAAAAAGUAUUUUAAAUUCACAGCUUGGAUAAGUAAAAGGGAGAUGUUGUCGUUUCUCUUCUUCAAUCCAACUUUAGAUUUUCAAGCCAGAAAAAGGAUAAUUAGAAGUUAGAAAUUGUUAUUGCCAGAAAAGAGCUCUAAAUCCUGAAAAAAACAAAAACAAAAAACAAACAAAAAAAAAACUGACCCUCCUCUUGGGGAGUGAUAAACCUCAAUUACUGUUGAUAGUAAAACUGACAUCAACUCUUCGAAACCAGUGAAAGGUGAAUGGAAACCUUACCCUAGGUUAAGGUUUGAAUAAUGUUUAUAAUAUAUAUUUGAAAGUUCCAUUAUUUAAAAUAUUUAUUAGACAUGCUUUGUAAUGUUAAGUUACUUCAAAAAAUCUUACACAAGGGAAGGGUAGUCUGUAUUAUUCCUUCAUUUAAGAAAAAGAUAAUGUGUGAAUAUUAGUUAAUAUUUAUCGUACAUUUACUACCUGUGUCGAAGCAUAGUGUUACACACUUUAUUUCAAUUAUUUCAUUUGAUUCUAACAAUGAAUCCCCUGAGAUGGAUAAUAUCCUCUUCAUUUUACAGAUGAGACAAUUGAGACUUAAAGGUUAAACAAACGAUUUCCUAAGCUCAUUCAGCCAGUAAACGGUAGGGGACUGCUUGACUCCAGUCCAAUUGAUCCUCAAAUCCAUGAUUUCUGCCACCAUAUUGACAGAAACAAGACAAGAGCUGAAAAUAUAGCCUGACUCUUGAAACAGUCAAAGAAUUGUGUAUGUUUAUGAAAGUUCUGAUUAAUAAGAUAUUCUGAGGACAAAAGACAAGGCAUGGGUAGAGGGGCAAUGUUAGAUUAGAAUGCCCACUAAAUAAUAAAACCAUAGAAAAUGAAAUUUAAUCCUUACUGUGUAGAAUAUUUAGAGUAGAUUGUUUUUUCCUGGGUAUCAAUUACUAUUACACUAUAAAAGAAUGAAAUUAAACAAGAAACGGUUCCUUUGGUACUUUUUUUUUUUUUAAGGUGGGAGUUAUAAAAACUGUAUUUGCCAUCUGGUUUUAGUUAUGGCUUUGGAAAUUCUAUGGGUACAAUUUGUUGUCAUUAUCGUUAUCACUACCAAUAAAGAGACUCUAAUUGUAACAUUUACGGCUCUGGAAAUUCUAUGGGUACAAUUUGUUGUCAUUAUUGUUGUUACCACUACCAAUACAGACACUCUAAUUGUAACAUCAGUUUCUAAAUCAGAUAGUGAAUAAUUACAUUUUCAAUGUUUUCUUAACAUAGAUACAAGUUAACAGGAUAUGCUUCUGGCGUGUUUCUGGAUUCUAAGGGUAGAACCAGCAUGAAACUAGUCAGUCCAAGUAUUUCUAAAGAUCCACAGACACAGUUCUCCUAGAUUUGGGAAGCCUAGAGAUAUUAGCACAAUAAUUAUGGCCCAAGUGGAUAUAAAAUUUUGUCUGAAAUUAAAGAGAUAUUGAUUAGAUAAUCCACAGAGACUACUUUUUAGUGAUUAUCUUCCACCAGGGUAAAAGCAACAGCAACCUGAAAAUGCAAAAGACCAUACAUUUUAAUGGCAAGUCCUCCCCAGGAAGGAUGAAUAAAUCUUAGAAU